rnacentral:misc_RNA from 1 species
UUUCCGUAGGUGAACCUGCGGAAGGAUCAUUAUUGUAUAACCGAGGUGCGAGGGCUGUCGCUGACCCGAAAGGUCGUGCACGCCCGAGUGCCCUCACACACAUCCAUCUCACCCCUAUGUGCACCACCGCGUGGGUCCCCCUUUGGCUUGUUCGGAGGGGGGCUUACGUUUUCACACAAACUUUGUAUGCAGUGUAGAUUGUAUUUUUUGUUUUUGCGAUCACGCAAUCAAUACAACUUUCAACAACGGAUCUCUUGGCUCUCGCACGAUGAAGGACGCAGC